rnacentral:rRNA from 1 species
CAGCAGCCGCGGUAAUACGUAGGGGGCGAGCGUUGUCCGGAAUUACUGGGUGUAAAGGGCGUGUAGGCGGGGGUGCAAGUUACCGGUAAAAACCCAGGGCUCAACUCUGGGCUUGCCGGUAAAACUGCAUCUCUUGAGUGUAGGAGAGGGAAGUGGAAUUCCCGGAGUAGCGGUGAAAUGCGUAGAUACCGGGAGGAACACCAGUGGCGAAGGCGGCUUCCUGGCCUACAACUGACGCUGAGGCGCGAAAGCUAGGGUAGCGAACGGGAUUAGAUACCCCGGUAGUCCUAGCCGUAAACGAUGGUCACUAGGUGUGGGUGGUGGUCAAGCCAUCCGUGCCGGAGCUAACGCAAUAAGUGACCCACCUGGGGAGUACGGCCGCAAGGCUGAAACUCAAAGGAAUUGACGGGGGCCCGCACAAGCGGUGGAGCAUGUGGUUUAAUUCGAAGCAACGCGAAGAACCUUACCAGGCCUUGACAUAUAGGUAGUAGAGAACCGAAAGGGGAUCGACCCGAGGUUACCCGAGGGAGCCUAUACAGGUGGUGCAUGGCC